CAGACCCCAGCCAGACAUGCUCUAGGUUUUCUAAGAAUUUAAAUAUUAAAAUAAUGUUCGUUUCUAUUGUGGUUCUUUAUACUUCACGGGUUUUAUAUGGUCUCUGUUCUCACUUGAUCUUCUCAAUCAUUUAGCCUUUUAAUUUUGUGACUUAAAUCUUGUUUGACCAUAUCUAUAUUUCUCUGCACUUUUAUAACUGAAGACAGUUCAGCUGCAAAGAUAUAUGCAUGGAUUAUAUCUACAAUAAAAUAUCACACGUUCUUCAAUUUCUGAGAAUUUUCUAAGUAGGAAUGGUAAUAACGUCUGAGUCCUGGGUGUCUAUAACAAUCCAAUUUUUUGAGUCGAUAGUAUUCCUAUAGUGUUUGUGAGUUUAUUAUGGAAAAAUAAUAUUCUUCCGUUUGCAUCCUUUUAGCCCCAGGCUGAGGCCAAGGUGAAUGGCACCACGGUGUCCUCUCCUUCUACUUCUCUGCAGAGGUCAGAUAGCAGUCAGCCUAUGCUGCUCCGAGUGGUUGGCAGUCAAACUUCAGAAUCUAUGGGUGAGGAAGAUCUUCUGAGUCCUCCCCAGGACACAAGCACAGGGUUAGAAGAAGUGAUGGAGCAACUCAACAACUCCUUCCCUAGUUCAAGAGGAAGAAAUGCCCCUGGAAAGCCAAUGAGAGAGGACACAAUGUAGGAAGCCUUUUCCACAUGGCAGAUGAUUUGGGCAGAGCGAUGGAGUCCUUAGUUUCAGUCAUGACAGAUGAAGAAGGAGCAGAAUAAAUGUUUUACAACUCCUGAUUCCCGCAUGGUUUUUAUAAUAUUCGUACAACAAAGAGGAUUAGACAGUAAGAGUUUACAAGAAAUAAAUCUAUAUUUUUGUGAAGGGUAGUGGUACUAUACUGUAGAUUUCAGUAGUUUCUAAGUCUGUUAUUGUUUUGUUAACAAUGGCAGGUUUUACACGUCUAUGCAAUUGUACAAAAAAGUUAAAAGAAAACAUGUAAAAUCUUGAUAGCUAAAUAACUUGCCAUUUCUUUAUAUGGAACGCAUUUUGGGUUGUUUAAAAAUUUAUAACAGUUAUAAAGAAAGAUUGUAAACUAAAGUGUGCUUUAUAAAAAGUUGUUUUAUAAAACCCCACACACACACACACACACACACACACACACACACACACACACACACACACACUGAGGCAGCACAUUGUUUUGCAUUUCUUUAGCGUGGUAUUCAUAUGGAAUUCAUGAUUUUUUUUUCUUUUCUUGCAUAUGAAAGAUAAGACUUCCUUGAACCCCACCAAAUGACUGCUUCAUAUUGCUCUUUUGAGAAUUGUUGACUGAGUGGGGCUGGCUAUGGGCUUUCAUUUUAUACAUCUAUAUGUCUACAAGUAUAUAAAUACUAUAGGUAUAUAGAUAAAUAGAUAUGAAAUUACUUCUUCAAAUGUUCUUGCCACUUUCUAACGGAAAUAAAUUGCUUCUAGUCAUCUGGGCUUAUCUACUUGGGCAAGAGUGAAUUUUCCCUGGAGCCCAAAGCCAGGAGAAUACUACUACACUAAAAUAUUGUCCAGGGCUCCGGAUGUUUCUAGUUUUAAACUUUUCACUGACAGCUAGAGCAUUCAUUUUUUAAAGGAAUAUGUGAAUGAAUACACAGAACUUACUAUAUCAUAGUAAUUUGUUGGUUGAUAUAUUUCAACUUCCUACUCCUGGGUUAGAUUUAAUGAUGUUUCUGCAAUAGAACAUCAGAAGACACUUUUAACUCCCAGGCAGUAAGAGGAAAAUGGUAGGGGCUAAAGGUUGUAACUCCUCAGUCAAUUCUUAUGAGGGGAACAGCAACUCUGUAAAAGAAUAGAAGAAUAUUCACAACUAUACAUAUAAACAUCUCUAUAAUUACAACUAAAUUGUUCUGCCCUCUUCAUAAACUCAACUUGAAGUGGGUGGUUUUGUUGUUGUUGUUGUUGUUGAUGAUGAUGAUGAAUUUUAGAUUUUAGAUUUUCUGGUUUUCUUUUCAUUGUGAUGAUUUUUUUAAAUGCUGCAAGAUUUAGGAUUAUUGGUAAGAAAGUAACCCAAUCACAUUGUGACCCUGGUGAAUAUCAAUCCAGAAGCCCAUGAACUGCAUUUGUCUCUUUUGCAUUGGUUUCCCUGCAAGUAACUGUGCAUUGGUUUGUGAGUGAGAAGGCACAUCGAUUGGAAAGUUUCGAGAGCAAAAGCCUCUCCAGACUCUCUGAUGUUAUUUGACAGGCUGAAAUGUCUAAACAAAUGCAAGUCAUUGAAACAGGAGAAAAGAUUAAACGGAAAGCUAAGGACUGGUAGGAAAAGCUUUACUUCCUCUCAUGUCAUUUUAGUCCUCUUAGCAUUUAAAAAGCAUUCUCUCAAUAGAAGUUACUCGCCUAUUAUUUUGCAAAUCUGUUACCUCUCUAACAUCAAGUGUAAUUAACUUCUAGCAAGUGGUUUUUGUCCAUUAUUAAUUGUAAUUAACAUCAAACACAGCUUCUCAUGCUAUUUCUACCUCACUUUGGUUUUGGGGUGUUCCUGGUAAUUGUGCACACCUAAUUUCACAACUUCACCACUUGUCUGUUGUGUGGACACUGGUCUCCUUUUUUUCCUUUAUAAUUUCCAACAGAAAACCCAAAGCUCUGAGAUACAAAUUGAAAUUUGGUUCUGGUCUUGCUUUUUUUCCCUCUCUCCUUUCUGUGGCACUGGGCAUUUUCUUUAUCCAAGGGUUUGUUUUCACCGAGAUUUAAAACAAUGGGUUCCUUUCCGUCCUACUAAGAAGUUUUAAGUUUCAUUCUAAAAUCCAAGGUAGAUAGAGUGCAUAGUUUUGUUUUAAUCUUUUCAUUUUAUCUUUUAGAUAUUAGUUCUGGAGUGAUUCUGUCAAAAUAUUUGAAUAAAAACUGAGAGCUUUAUUGCUGAUUUUAAGCAUAAUUUGGACAUCAUUUCGUGUUCUUUAUAACCACCAAGUAUUAAACUGUAAAUCAUAAUCAGUGUAACUGAAGCAUACUCAUCACAUGGCAUGGAUCAUCAUUGUCUCCAGGGACUCGAUUCUUACUUGAGUAUCAUCAUAGAUUGUGUUUUAACACCAACACUGUAACAUUUACUAAUUAUUUUUUUAAACUUCAGUUUUACUGCAUUUUCACAACAUAUCAGACUUCACCAAAUAUAUGCCUUACUAUUGUAUUAUAUUACUGCUUUACUGUGUAUCUCAAUAAAGCACGCAGUUAUGUUACAAAAAAAA